AGAGUUUGAUCCUGGCUCAGGACGAACGCUGGCGGCGUGCCUAAUACAUGCAAGUCGAGCGAAUGAUAGGGAGCUUGCUCCCUUGAUUUAGCGGCGGACGGGUGAGUAACACGUGGGCAACCUACCUGUAAGACUGGGAUAACUUCGGGAAACCGGAGCUAAUACCGGAUAAUUUCUUUUCUCGCAUGAGAAGAGAUGGAAAGACGGUUUCGGCUGUCACUUACAGAUGGGCCCGCGGCGCAUUAGCUAGUUGGUGAGGUAACGGCUCACCAAGGCCACGAUGCGUAGCCGACCUGAGAGGGUGAUCGGCCACACUGGGACUGAGACACGGCCCAGACUCCUACGGGAGGCAGCAGUAGGGAAUCUUCCGCAAUGGACGAAAGUCUGACGGAGCAACGCCGCGUGAACGAAGAAGGCCUUCGGGUCGUAAAGUUCUGUUGUUAGGGAAGAACAAGUACCAGAGUAACUGCUGGUACCUUGACGGUACCUAACCAGAAAGCCACGGCUAACUACGUGCCAGCAGCCGCGGUAAUACGUAGGUGGCAAGCGUUGUCCGGAAUUAUUGGGCGUAAAGCGCGCGCAGGUGGUUCCUUAAGUCUGAUGUGAAAGCCCACGGCUCAACCGUGGAGGGUCAUUGGAAACUGGGGAACUUGAGUGCAGAAGAGGAAAGUGGAAUUCCACGUGUAGCGGUGAAAUGCGUAGAGAUGUGGAGGAACACCAGUGGCGAAGGCGACUUUCUGGUCUGUAACUGACACUGAGGCGCGAAAGCGUGGGGAGCGAACAGGAUUAGAUACCCUGGUAGUCCACGCCGUAAACGAUGAGUGCUAAGUGUUAGAGGGUUUCCGCCCUUUAGUGCUGCAGCUAACGCAUUAAGCACUCCGCCUGGGGAGUACGGCCGCAAGGCUGAAACUCAAAGGAAUUGACGG
rnacentral:rRNA from 1 species